ensembl:lncRNA
GUGGCUCCUGCAGUUUUUUUUCAGAGAAAGCAGAGGGUUGGCUCUGCCCUCUCCUCAGACAGACCCUCUGCUUCCAGCCCCAUGGGUCAGCCCCUGCUGUAUGAAGACAGGAGGCAGGGGAAGACAAGGCAAAGGAGCUUCCAGAAUUGUCUUUGGGAUGUUAGGGAAAAGUGGCAGCUGUGAAUUCAACUACAGAUCCUCCCUGUCUUUGCUUUUUUUUUAACUGAUGAGUGCUUGGCGAAGUUCUGCUUAUUCUGCUGCCGCUGCCAAGGCAAAAGAGGAUACCUUGUACCGAAGUUACCGUCACACGGGGGAGCCUCUCUGUAGGACAAAUCCCUAGCACCACACCUGGCACUGAGUCAGUCCUUGAUAAAUACACAUCGUUUGGGAAGCUACUCCUCCACUGCAACCAGGCUGAGGAGGCGCUGAGUGAAAAUGUGAAAAGAAGACGUCAUCAGGAGUGUCUAAGAAGAGAAAGGGAGUUGAACAAUUGUUACCGCUUCAGCCUGAGAUAAUUUUUCAGCUGAAUUGCUAAAAUAGGAAGAAUCUGGCCUUUUCUACUUUAGGAAAACAAUGUUCUGGAGAUGAAGCUUUUAAAGAAAAUGCUAUCUGAAUGUGUAUUGAAACAAGAAUAAUUGAGCAGCCAUUGUUCUGGCCCAUUCCUUGCAAGUCUGGAAGGUUUCUGAAGUUGAGGCUCUAAUUAAAAGAAAAUUUUUCUUCUCAGAUGCAUCUCAGUGGUAUUGUUCUGUUUUAUCCCAUGGGGAGCUUGCGGGUGCCAGGCCACCCACAGCAAGGAUGUCUGGACUCUGGGGUCUGUGUCUGAUGUGAACCUGGAGCGAGGCAGCCCCAGCAAAUGUCCGGAGGGUCACUGCGUGUCUGGUGGGGACAGAGGAUCUGAGGACGCUCGUCCACUUCACACUGCACGACAACAGUGGAAAGCACGAGCUUCCUCCUGCAGAGUCGUCACCCUCUCAGGGAGCCUGGGUCAGAGCUGCCCCUCUGCAGAGGGACCAGCGGACUCGCCGUGUGUUUCCAUGGGAGAUGCCCCAACCUCAGACACGAGGCUCUUCUCCAGGGUGUGGGUUCCAGGCAGGAAUGAGCCUCUUACAGGCGCUGUCAUGUGUCUGGGGGCACUUCGUGUUUCCUGGCCCAGGAGGUCUCAGGGGAGGACUGGGGCCAGAAAGGCAGGUGCAGGAGCGAGCGUGGACUUGAGUUCCCCUGACCUCCCUGGGCUCCUCCUCAGCUGGGUGGGUGUCAUCACAGUGCCUGCCUCUUGGGGGCGCUGUGGGGUUACAGGGGAUGAUGUGUCUCCUGGGUUUGCAGAGCUGUAAAGGGGGCUUUGCUCCGUGAGCAGAUGUGAGGGAGUGACCAGGUGGCAACCACGUCCCGAGUCAGUGAGGAUGGGCUGUGCACCUGGUC